rnacentral:rRNA from 1 species
ACGGGUGAGUAACGCGUGGGAACCUUCCCUGUGGUACGGAAUAACUUCCGGAAACGGAAGCUAAUACCGUAUAUCUCCUCCGGGAGAAAGAUUUAUCGCCAUAGGAUGGGCCCGCGUUGGAUUAGCUAGUUGGUAGGGUAAUGGCCUACCAAGGCGACGAUCCAUAGCUGGUCUGAGAGGAUGAUCAGCCACACUGGGACUGAGACACGGCCCAGACUCCUACGGGAGGCAGCAGUGGGGAAUAUUGGACAAUGGGCGCAAGCCUGAUCCAGCCAUGCCGCGUGAGUGAAGAAGGCCUUAGGGUUGUAAAGCUCUUUUGGCGGGGACGAUAAUGACGGUACCCGCAGAAUAAGCCCCGGCUAACUUCGUGCCAGCAGCCGCGGUAAUACGAAGGGGGCUAGCGUUGUUCGGAAUCACUGGGCGUAAAGCGCACGCAGGCGGACUGAUAAGUCGGGGGUGAAAUCCCGGGGCUCAACCUCGGAAUUGCCUUCGAUACUGUUAGUCUUGAGUUCGGGAGAGGUUGGCGGAAUUCCUAGU